rnacentral:rRNA from 1 species
AACCAGCACCUCAAGUGGUCAGGAGGAUUAUUGGGCCUAAAGCAUCCGUAGCCUGCUUUGUAAGUUUUCGGUUAAAUCCAUAUGCUCAACAUAUGGGCUGCCGGGAAUACUGCAUAGCUAGGGAGUGGGAGAGGUAGACGGUACUCCAUAGGAAGGGGUAAAAUCCUUUGAUCUAUGGAAGACCACCUGUGGCGAAGGCGGUCUACCAGAACACGUUCGACGGUGAGGGAUGAAAGCUGGGGGAGCAAACCGGAUUAGAAACCCGAGUAGUCC